UUUUACUCUUUAAAGAAGUCUGUUUAUUGAAAGGGUCUGAAAAUAGUAAUAAGGCUUUCAACAACAUUUAAUAACAUUUCAGGAUAUUAACAAUAUGAAACAUUAAGAAUUUACUUGAAAAACCCAUAGCUUUCUAGACCAUCCCAUCAUGCUGCUUCAGGGCAGGGGUGUUCGGGUUUGGCUCCCUCUCAGCCCGCAGACCAGCCCCCAGGUGGGUGUACAGGUGGCAGUGAGAGCCCACCUCUGUGUCCAACAUCAGGCCGAGUGCCCAGCACCACUGAGGUCCAGAUGCUGAGGUGCCUCAGCAGGGACAAGAGUGGGCACAGCACUCAAGCAACACACGUCCACACAGACACGGAGGGCAGAGCAGGUGCCCAGGUUGCAGACCAGCCAGAGAAACCCGACUGAGUUGGCCAUGCUUGUGGCUCUGGACACCUCAUUAGCACAAGAUUGGGGUGUGCGUCCCUGCAGUGGAAGGACACUGCCCACCAUGGCCCCAACGUGAGGCCCAGGGUGGUGUUGAGCCCUUCCCUUCUCCCGAGGGGAGCCGAUGGAAACCCCUCAGAGAGAAAUCCGUUCCUCACAACAGGCUCUACUGAGGCUGUCUGCUGGGUAAGGGCCAAGGACACAUGCAAACCGAGCCGAGGCUCCAACCAUGGACUCCACAGGUCUGGGUCCCACAUGGC